GUGGGGAAUCUUCCGCAAUGGACGAAAGUCUGACGGAGCAACGCCGCGUGAGUGAUGAAGAUCUUCGGAUUGUAAAACUCUGUUGUCAGGGACGAAUGUGCGAACGUUGAAUAAGCGUUUGUAUUGACGGUACCUGACGAGGAAGCCACGGCUAACUACGUGCCAGCAGCCGCGGUAAUACGUAGGUGGCAAGCGUUGUCCGGAAUUAUUGGGCGUAAAGAGCAUGUAGGCGGGCUUUUAAGUCCGACGUGAAAAUGCGGGGCUUAACCCCGUAUGGCGUUGGAUACUGGAAGUCUUGAGUGCAGGAGAGGAAAGGGGAAUUACCAGUGUAGCGGUGAAAUGCGUAGAUAUUGGGAGGAACACCAGUGGCGAAGGCGCCUUUCUGGACUGUGUCUGACGCUGAGAUGCGAAAGCCAGGGUAGCAAACGGGAUUAGAUACCCCAGUAGUCC
rnacentral:rRNA from 1 species